ACGCUGGCGGCAUGCCUUACACAUGCAAGUCGAACGGCAGCACGGGAGCAAUCCUGGUGGCGAGUGGCGAACGGGUGAGUAAUACAUCGGAACGUGCCCAAUCGUGGGGGAUAACGCAGCGAAAGCUGUGCUAAUACCGCAUAAGAUCUACGGAUGAAAGCAGGGGAUCGCAAGACCUUGCGCGAAUGGAGCGGCCGAUGGCAGAUUAGGUAGUUGGUGAGGUAAAGGCUCACCAAGCCUUCGAUCUGUAGCUGGUCUGAGAGGACGACCAGCCACACUGGGACUGAGACACGGCCCAGACUCCUACGGGAGGCAGCAGUGGGGAAUUUUGGACAAUGGGCGAAAGCCUGAUCCAGCCAUGCCGCGUGCAGGAUGAAGGCCUUCGGGUUGUAAACUGCUUUUGUACGGAACGAAAAGUCUCUUUCUAAUAAAGAGGGAUCAUGACGGUACCGUAAGAAUAAGCACCGGCUAACUACGUGCCAGCAGCCGCGGUAAUACGUAGGGUGCAAGCGUUAAUCGGAAUUACUGGGCGUAAAGCGUGCGCAGGCGGUUAUAUAAGACAGUUGUGAAAUCCCCGGGCUCAACCUGGGAACUGCAUCUGUGACUGUAUAGCUAGAGUACGGUAGAGGGGGAUGGAAUUCCGCGUGUAGCAGUGAAAUGCGUAGAUAUGCGGAGGAACACCGAUGGCGAAGGCAAUCCCCUGGACCUGUACUGACGCUCAUGCACGAAAGCGUGGGGAGCAAAC
rnacentral:rRNA from 1 species